rnacentral:rRNA from 1 species
AUACGGAGGGGGCUAGCGUUGUUCGGAAUUACUGGGCGUAAAGCGCGCGUAGGCGGACCAGUCAGUCAGGGGUGAAAUCCCGGGGCUCAACCCCGGAACUGCCUUUGAUACUGCUGGUCUUGAGUUCGAGAGAGGUGAGUGGGAUUCCGAGUGUAGAGGUGAAAUUCGUAGAUAUUCGGAGGAACACCAGUGGCGAAGGCGGCUCACUGGCUCGAUACUGACGCUGAGGUGCGAAAGCGUGGGGAGCAAACAGGAUUAGAUACCCUAGUAGUCC